rnacentral:rRNA from 1 species
GACGAACGCUGGCGGCGGGCUUAACACAUGCAAGUCGAACGGAAAGGCCCUGCUUUUGUGGUGUUCUCGAGUGGCGAACGGGUGAGGAACACGUGAGUAACCUGCCCUUGACUUUGGGAUAACUUCAGGAAACUGGGGCUAAUACCGGAUAGCAGCUCCUGCUGCAUGGUAGGGGUUGGAAAGUUUCUGCGGUUGGGGAUGGACUCGCGGGUGAUCAGCUUGUUGGUUGGGUAGUGGCUUACCGAGGCUUUGAAGGGUAGCCGGCAUGAGAGGGUGACCGGGGUCCAUGGGCCUGCGAGAAGGACCAGACGGGUAUGGGAGACAGUAGUGGCGAGCCUUGUCCAAUGAGAGGGAGUGUGAUAAAGAGACGCUGGGGGCGGGAUGACGGUUUUUGGGUAGUGAACCGCUGCAGCUUGUGACGCAGCGGGAGUGACGGUAAUGGAUGAAUAAGCACCGGCUAACUACGUG